rnacentral:tRNA from 2 species
GGCCCCAUCGUCUAGUGGUCUAGGACGUCGCCCUUUCACGGCGAAAACACGGGUUCGAGUCCCGUUGGGGUCACCA